rnacentral:rRNA from 1 species
UACAGAGGUCUCGAGCGUUAGGCGGAAUCACUGGGCUUAAAGCGUGUGUAGGUGGAUGCCUAAGUACCUUGUGAAAUCCCACGGCUUAACCGUGGAACUGCUUGGUAUACUGGGUGUCUUGAGUCACUCAGGGGCGAGCGGAACAAAUGGUGGAGCGGUGAAAUGCGUAGAUAUCAUUUGGAACGCCAAUGGUGAAAACAGCUCGCUGGGGGUGCACUGACACUGAGACAGAAAGCCAGGGGAGCGAACGGG